rnacentral:rRNA from 1 species
UACGGAGGGGGCUAGCGUUGUUCGGAAUUACUGGGCGUAAAGCGCACGUAGGCGGCUUUGUAAGUUAGAGGUGAAAGCCCGGGGCUCAACUCCGGAAUUGCCUUUAAGACUGCAUCGCUAGAAUUGUGGAGAGGUAAGUGGAAUUCCGAGUGUAGAGGUGAAAUUCGUAGAUAUUCGGAAGAACACCGGUGGCGAAAGCGCUCUGCUGGACCUUAACUGACACUGAGGGACGAAAGCUAGGGGAGCGAAUGGG